rnacentral:rRNA from 1 species
CCUACGGGAGGCAGCAGUGAGGAAUAUUGGUCAAUGGGCGAGAGCCUGAACCAGCCAAGUCGCGUGAGGGAGUACUGCCCUAUGGGUUGUAAACCUCUUUUGUCGGGGAGCAAAAGCCGGACGUGUCCGGCUGUGAGAGUACCCGAAGAUAAAGCAUCGCCUAACUCCGUGCCAGCAGCGGCGGUACUACGGGGGAUGCGAGGGUUAUCCGGAUUGAUUGGGUUAAAAGGGUGCGACAGGGGAUUUUUAAGUCGGCGGUAAAAUCGUGGGGCUCAACCCCAUCCAGCCGUUGAAACUGGGGAUCUAGAGUGUGCGAGAGGUAUGCGGAAUGCGUGGUGUAGCGGUGAAAUGCAUAGAUAUCACGCAGAACCCCGGUUGCGAAGGCAGCAUACCGGUGCACAACUGACGCUCAGGCACGAAAGCGUGGGUAGCGAACAGGAUUAGAUACCCGGGUAGUC